UACAGAGGUCUCAAGCGUUGUUCGGAUUCAUUGGGCGUAAAGGGUGCGUAGGUGGCGCCGUAAGUCGGGUGUGAAAUUUCGGAGCUUAACUCCGAAACUGCAUUCGAUACUGCGGUGCUUGAGGACUGGAGAGGAGACUGGAAUUCAUGGUGUAGCAGUGAAAUGCGUAGAGAUCAUGAGGAAGACCAGUGGCGAAGGCGGG
rnacentral:rRNA from 1 species